rnacentral:tRNA from 1 species
CAGUAGCUCAGUUGGUUAGAGCACAUGACUGUUAAUCAUGGGGUCGCUGGUUCAAGCCCAGCCUG